GCGCCCUUCGUCUAAUGGUUAGGACAUCAGGUUUUCAUCCUGGUAACAGGGGUUCGAUCCCCCUAGGGCGUACCA
rnacentral:tRNA from 1 species